UACGGAGGGUGCGAGCGUUGUCCGGAAUCAUUGGGCGUAAAGGGCGCGUAGGUGGCCUGCUAAGCGUGCGGUGAAAGCUCGGGGCUCAACCCCGAGUCGGCCGUGCGAACUGGUGGGCUUGAGCACUGUAGAGGCAGGCGGAAUUCCGGGUGUAGCGGUGGAAUGCGUAGAUAUCCGGAGGAACACCGGUGGCGAAGGCGGCUUCCUGGACCGACACUGACGCUGAGGCGCGAAAGCUAGGGGGAGCAAACAGG
rnacentral:rRNA from 1 species